CAUGCAUUUCAAGAAGACUUGUACAAGGGAGGCCUGCAUCAUGGAACACAAACUCCCAAACACACAUGACUUCUCCUGAUUCUUCUCACAGCGAGAGCCACGCAUUUCAAGAAGACUUGUACAAGGGAGGCCUGCAUCAUGGAACACAAACUCCCAAACACACAUGACUUCUCCUGAUUCUUCUCACAGCGAGAGCCACGCAUUUCAAGAAGACUUGUACAAGGGAGGCCUGCAUCAUGGAACACAAACUCCCAAACACACAUGACUUCUCCUGA